rnacentral:rRNA from 1 species
CAAACUAAACAGGAUUCUCUUAGUAACGGCGAGUGAAAAGAGAUUAGCCCAACAUCGAAGCUUACGUGCAUCUUGUGCGGGAAGCAAUGUGAUGUUAAGGUGUUCACUUAAGCAGUGUGGCCAACUUGAAGUCCAAUUUUGAAUGUGGCAUUGUGUAUAAACCCAGAGAUGGUGAAAGGCCCGUUCAGGUUGGUGGUCAGAUAUGAGAGAACUGCUUGACAGUGUUCACCUUGGAGUCGGAUUGCUUGAGAGUGCAGUCCAAAGUUGGUGGUAAACUCCAUCAAAGGCUAAAUACCUGUACGAGUCCGAUAGUUAACAAGUACCGUGAGGGAAAGUUGAAAAGUACUCUGAAGAGAGAGUAAACAGUACGUGAAACUACUGGGAGGUUAACCAGAUAAAGUCAAGCUGCUUGUUGAUUAACAUUGCAUUACGUGUAUGGGAUGAUGGGGCGGCACACACAUGCCAAGUGCGUAAACGACUAAUGUCUUCGGAUGUUUGCUCAGUUACGGUUGUGAUUGUCCAAUUGGCAUGCGGUGUGUCUACGCGUAUUGUUUAUGUUGUCAGCUAGUGCCACAAUCAGUCUUGUGACCGGUAGAUAUCAUUCAGCUGGUGUGCAGUUAGAUGAAACACUCUGACUGUGCAUGUAGUGUAACAGCGGGAUUUGUCAGCGUUGCACUACGAUGAGUAAAUGUCAAGGGCUACGGCCUGUUGUUUGAUGUCAAUGCUGUGCGCAAGACUGGUAACAUGUACUCUCACAAGUCUGCCCUGCCUUCCUAGCCUCGGCUAGUUGGUGGUGUAGGCGAGUCUGUAAAUUGUGGUUCUGUGGUA